rnacentral:rRNA from 1 species
CAUGAAGCCGGAAUCGCUAGUAAUCGCGGAUCAGAAUGCCGCGGUGAAUACGUUCCCGGGUCUUGUACACACCGCCCGUCACACCAUGGGAGUCGGGAAUGCCCGAAGCCGGCGGCCUAACCGAAAGGGGGGAGCCGUCGAAGGCAGGCCCGGUGACUGGGGUGAAGUCGUAACAAGGUACC